GAAUCAAGUGAUGAAAUUGGAUUAAAAUUUCUCACGACGGUCGUCUGAGACACGUCAAGUGUCGCCGAUGAUAAAGUGAUCCGAUGUUCUGAUGGUU